AUGUUCUGUUUUAACUUUGUCUGCCCGUUCCAGUUCAGCCCUGAUCUACUGAGUCCUGAAGGUUCCUGCUCGUCUGUUCACAGGAAUCACCCACCGCCAUCUGGAGUUGUUAAUCCAACAUCACGUUGCUCACCGUCCCCCUGGUCUCCUCUCUCUCCGCCGCCCGCCUGUCGUCCUGUCCGCUUCCCAGCCUGCCUAACCACCAGCCUCCGGACCUGCAUCAUAACCUGCCUCACUGUGCCUCGCAACCUGUUUCCUCAUCCCGUCCUGGGUCCUCAUUCUCAGCUGCUUGUCUGUCCCCACCUGGCCCCCAAAGACACAGCCCUGCCUCACCAAGACCGAUCAUCACCAAUCUUGGUCCCCCCUGUUCCCGUCUGGAGCAGCGCUUUUAGUUAUGCACCAUUCUUAAUAAAUAUUAUUUGUUAUUUACUUACCCUCAUUUCCAUCUGUGAUUCUUUCAUGUCCUGGGUAAAACAUAUUCCCAACAUGACAGAAUCAACCAGCCAAACAUCCACCCCUUUGGAAGAAUCAUUUCCGCCAGCAGUUGUACCCUCAAGCCGCCUAUACAACCUGUCCAAACCAGAACAAUACAGUAUGGCUAAAUACAUUUCUGAGUCCCUGUCUGCCGGUAUUACAAGGCCUUCCACGUCCCUCCUGGGUGCGGGAUUCUUUUUUGUGUCAAAGAAGGAUGGAUCCCUGCGUCCCUGCAUCGACUAUCGUGGACUGAACCAGAUCACUAUCAAAAGCAAGUACCCUCUACCUCUGCUUACAAUGCCUCUGUCUUUACCAAGUUGGACCUGCACAACACUUACCACCUCAUGAGAAUCCGGGAGGGGGACGAAUGGAAAACGGCUUUCAAGACCAAUCUUGGACAUUACGAAUACCUGUUUAUGUAGUUUGGACUCACUAAUUCCACCGCAGUCUUCCAGUCCCUGGUGAACUCUGUCCUGGGUGACCACAUAAAAAAAUUUGUCACGGUUUAUUUGGACUAUAUUUUGAUUUUUUCCAGGUCCCUCACACAACACUGCCAACAUGUCCGAGCUGUGCUUCAAUGAUGCCUCGAGAACCACCUGUAUGUCAAAGCUGAAAAAUGUGAGUUUCACGUCUUGUCCGUCAAGUUCUUGGGUUUUGUCCUGGAGAGUGGUCAGCUGAAGACAGACCCUGAUAAGAUCGAGGCAGUUUGGACAUGGCCAACCCCUGAAACAUGUAAGCAACUACAAAGGUUUUUGGGUUUUGCAAAUUUCUAUCGACGUUUUAUCAGGAACUACAGUCAGAUAGCGACACCCCUCACUCGACUCGCCUCAGUCAAGGUUCCGUUUCUGUGGUCCCCGGAGGCCGACCAAGCCUUCAACAUCCUCAAGACCAGUUUCACCCAGGCACCCAUUCUCACAUGCCCAGACACCUCUCUGCAGUUCACUCGAGAGGUUGAUGCAUCUGAUACUGGAGUGGGUGCUGUACUCUCCCAAGUCUCUCCCACAGAUCAGCAUCUCCAUCCCUGCGCCUUUUUCUCCCGUUGUCUUUCGUCUGCAGAGCAGAAUUACAACGUGGGAGACCGGGAACUUCUGGCCGUUAAGCUGGCUUUGGAGGAGUGGCGUCACUGGCUGGAGGGUGCAGAACAUCCAAUAGUAAUCUGGACACAUCACAAGAAUCUUGCAUAUUUAAAGGAGGCUAAAAGACUAAAUCCUCGUCAGUCCCGCUGGUCGUUGUUUUUCUCCCGAUUCACCUUUGUUAUCUCUUUCAGACCUGGCUCCAAGAAUGUCAAACCCGAUGCCUUUUCCCGACAGCACGCUUCUGACAAAGACACCGAACCCACUACCAUCCUACCAGCCUCCUGCAUUGUCAGCUCCAUAGCUUGGGACAUCACCAAUAAGGUACUGGAAGCCCAACGUUUGGAACCAGACCCAGGUACCGGUCUCCCACAUAAAACAAAUGUUCCUUCCAGCACUCGCAGCUCCCUAAUCCACUGGGCACACACUGCUAGAUUUUCCAUUCACCCCGGCCUUGGCAGAACCUUAGCUCUCAUUUGUAGAACCUUUUGGUGGCCUUCAAUGUGUAAAGAU
ensembl:lncRNA